CAUAAUAGAUCAGAUUCAUAGAUCUCACUGCGACUCAACACGUAGGGUAUUUAUGGCAACAGAUCCUGGCGAUAAACGUUUGUCACAUCUGUCACUAUGUUAAAAGCGGUUGUAUGUCUGUCUAUAUUUCUAGCUGUGAAGGCCGAAGAAUCAUUUAUUUCCAAAGGCCAGUGGUUGUUGGAAUCAAUAGGAGAAUGCGAUAGAGCGGACAUGUACGAAAUCCAGUUCAACAUAACUAGAUACAGGUGGACGCGAGGUGUUGACGCCGUGAACGCGACGUUUGACCUAUCUCGCGAUGUAACUAUACAUCACAGUUUUGAGAUAAACGUAGAGAAGAUGACAAACGGUGGUUGGAAGAACUACCAGAUAAUCAAGCACCAUAGUUUUCUACAAUUCAUAAGGAACAAUACCGGAGAAAAUUUCGAUAGAUUGAUGAAUCACAUGAACUUAGAGUACUCAGAUCCGGACCCAAUACCAAAAAAUAAAUAUAUAAUACAUUUGUUUAUUAUUGAUAUAUGCCAGCUCCCUGAAGAAGGUAUCAUAGGAGAGUACAGGGCAACGACAUACCUUUUCGACGAAACAGGCGUUAUCAUAAGUUGCGCGAUUGCGUACGUUACUUUCACAGAGGAAGGCGACAUUUGUGGGAGGAAGACAGAAGAUGAAGAUAAAUAAAUAAAUAAAUGUUA